rnacentral:rRNA from 1 species
UCGAACAGAAGAGUGAAAUAGUUCCUGAAACCGUGCGCCUACAAGCGGUCGGAGCUCGUUAAUGAGUGACGGCGUGCCUUUUGCAUAAUGAACCUACGAGUUGCCUUUGCCGGCAAGGUUAAGUGUGACGACACACGUAUCCGAAGCGAAAGCGAGUCUGAACAGGGCGUAUAGUCGGCAGUGGCAGACGCGAAACCAAGUGAUCUACCCUUGGCCAGGUUGAAGGCUGGGUAACACCAGCUGGAGGACCGCACCAAUAAGCGUUGAAAAGCUUCUGGAUGAGCUGAGGGUAGGGGUGAAAGGCUAAUCAAACUUGGAGAUAGCUCGUACUCCCCGAAAUGCAUUUAGGUGCAGCCUUGCGGGUUACUGAUGUGAGGUAGAGCGACUGAUAAGAUGCGAGGGCUUCACCGCCUAUCAAGUCUUGACAAACUCCGAAUGCGCAUCAGUUCUACCGCAGGAGUGAGGGCAUGGGUGCUAAGGUCCGUGCCCGAGAGGAGAAGAAUCCGGACCACCUGCUAAGGUCCCGAAAUGACAGCUAAGUUAAACUAACGAAGUCUGACUGCUAAGACAGCUAGGAUGUUGGCUUGGAAGCAGCCAUUCAUUUAAAGAGUGCGUAACAGCUCACUAGUCGAGGAGUUUGGCGUGGAUAAUAAUCGGGUAUUAAGCUGUUUACCGAAGCAGUGGGAUCAUAUAAUGAUCGGUAGGGGAGCAUUCCACUCUGCGUCGAAGGUGGGGCGUGAGCCCUGCUGGAGCGUGUGGAAAAGCAAAUGUAGGUAUAAGUAACGAUAAAGGGGGUGAGAAACCCCCUCGCCGAAAGACUAAGGUUUCCUGAUCAACGCUAAUCGGAUCAGGGUCAGUCGGGUCCUAAGGCUCAGCCGAACGGCGAGGCCGAUGGCAGAACCGGUUAAUAUUCCGGUACUACCCUUUAGGGUGACGUGGAGACGCAGUCGUGACAAUGCCGCCAGCUGACGGAAUAGCUGGUUAAAGGGUGUAGAAGUUGAUUGUGGCAGGCAAAUCCACCACAAGAUUCGAACCUGACAGUAUGGAGCGUCCUUCCGGACAAUCCAACAGUGCAUGUAAUCAUACUGCCAAGAAAAUCCGCUAAACAUAACCUUCAGGGUACCCGUACCGCAAACGGACACACGUAGUCGGGUUGAAUAUACUAAGGCGCUUGAGUGAUUCACGGUUAAGGAACUAGGCAAACUGACCCUGUAACUUCGGGAUAAAGGGUCCCUACCCUUUUAUGGGAGGGCGCAGAGAAUCGGUCCAGGCAACUGUUUAACAAAAACACAGGGCUGUGCGAAGUCGAAAGACGCUGUAUACAGCCUGACACCUGCCCGGUGCUGGAAGGUUAAGAGGAGAUGUCAUCGCAAGAGAAGCAUUGAAUUGAAGCCCCAGUAAACGGCGGCCGUAACUAUAACGGUCCUAAGGUAGCGAAAUUCCUUGUCGGGU